UUUUACCUGCACAUUCUCUCCCUAGGUGCACGACAGAGUGAUCCUGGUAAAGGAGGAGCUGCACCUCGUUAUUGACGUGCUGGAAAACAUUAGGGAUCCCAAUCUGUCCGAGCUGCUCGGGAGGCCAUUAGAAAUCCUGAGGCACAUCAGAGAGGACUUGAAGAACUGCACCAGACAUCAGCCUGACAACCAUCAACGCUCCGGGAGGCUGACUAGCUGGCUCCAAAAAUUCCACGCAGCCAAGAAGAUGGAAACUCCAGGGUGCCUGGAAGCAUCUGUGGUCCUCAAUCUCUUCCGACUGCUGAACGAAGACUUGAAGUGCGCAGC